rnacentral:rRNA from 1 species
AUUGAACGCUGGCGGCAUGCUUUACACAUGCAAGUCGGACGAGUGGCGAACGGGUGAGUAAUGCAUCGGAACGUCCCGAGUAAUGGGGGAUAACUGUCCGAAGGGACAGCUAAUACCGCAUAAUAUUCGAACGGCCGAUGUUUGAUGAGCGGGUUGGCGGGGUAAAGGCUCACCAAGGCGACGAUCAGCAGCGGGUCUGAGAGGAUGCUCAGCCACACUGGGACUGAGACACGGCCCAGACUCCUACGGGAGGCAGCAGUGGGGAAUAUUGCACAAUGGGCGCAAGCCUGAUGCAGCCAUGCCGCGUGUGUGAAGAAGGCCUUCGGGUUGUAAAGCACUUUCAGCGGGGAGGCGUUACCCGCAGAAGAAGCACCGGCUAACUCCGUGCCAGCAGCCGCGGUAAUAC